CAAGUACAAUGUGGGCCUGUGAUAAGCAAAGACACUUCUCUGAAAUCCCCCUCGUUUCUCUGUGUGCUGAGGCUGCUGAAAGGCACUAUGACUUCGGGCACCAGAUGAGACCCUGCAGGUUAAAUCAGCUGAUGCUGCUUCGUGAGAAACCACCCUGACAUCUGCCUGGGUCUGAAUCACACAUCCUGGAGGUCUUUCACAGAUGGGAUCUGUGCACACGUUUGUCACCUGGUGAUGUUGCAUAGAUUCUGUCACUGAUGCCUGCACUGGUACCUAGGCUGGGAUCACAGCUGAGAUCAGUGCUGUCAUCACAG
rnacentral:lncRNA from 1 species